AACUUUUGGCAAUGGAUCUCUUGGUUGUGGCAUCGAUGAAGAACGCAGCAAAAUGCGAUAAGUAAUGUGAAUUGCAGAAUUCAGUGAAUCAUCGAAUCUUUGAACGCACAUUGCGCCCGCUGGUAUUCCGGCGGGCAUGCCUGUUCGAGCGUCAUUAUGACCAAUCAAGCUCUGCUUGGCUUUGGGGCCCGCUGUACCGGCGGCUCUUAAAACUAGUGGCGGUGCCGUCUGGCUCUAAGCGUAGUAAUACGUCUCGCUAUAGUGUUUAGGCGUCUACCCGCCAGAACCCCCCAACUUUCUUAGGUUGACCUCGGAUCAGGUAGGGAUACCCGCUGAACUUAAGCAUAUCAAUAAGCGGAGGCU
rnacentral:misc_RNA from 1 species